rnacentral:rRNA from 1 species
AGUGAACGCUGGCGGUAGGCCUAACACAUGCAAGUCGAACGGCAGCACAGUAAGAGCUUGCUCUUACGGGUGGCGAGUGGCGGACGGGUGAGGAAUACAUCGGAAUCUACUUUUUCGUGGGGGAUAACGUAGGGAAACUUACGCUAAUACCGCAUACGACCUACGGGUGAAAGCAGGGGAUCUUCGGACCUUGCGCGAUUGAAUGAGCCGAUGUCGGAUUAGCUAGUUGGCGGGGUAAAGGCCCACCAAGGCGACGAUCCGUAGCUGGUCUGAGAGGAUGAUCAGCCACACUGGAACUGAGACACGGUCCAGCCUCCUACGGGAGGCAGCAGUGGGGAAUAUUGGCCAAUGGGCGCAAGCCUGCUCCAGCCAUACCGCGUGGGUGAAGAAGGCCUUCGGGUUGUAAAGCCCUUUUGUUGGGAAAGAAAAGCAGCAGGUUAAUACCCCGCUGUUCUGACGGUACCCAAAGAAUAAGCACCGGCUAACUUCGUG